rnacentral:lncRNA from 1 species
UGUGCCUGGGGCCAUUUUGGGGUGAAAAGAAGUGGAUUUGGGGCCAAGAGCUGCUUUCCGUGCUGUGUGCCAUUUUUGGGGCCAAUCGCUACGAUUUUGGGCCAGUUUGGGGCCAAGAAUUCGCUUUUUGGGCCAUUUUUUGGGUCGAGAGCCAUUUUUUGGGGCUGAAAAUUUGGUCUUUGGGCCAAGAGCCGUUUUGGGGCCAAAACGUGGUUUUGGGGCCAAGAGCCAAUUUUGAGCCAAAAAAGGUUUUUUGGGGCCAAAACCUGUUUCUGGGGCCAGGAGCUGCUUUUGGGCUAAGAAUGGAUUUUGGGCCGAGAAGCUGGUUUUUUGGGCCAAGCGCCAUUUUGCGGCUGAGAACUGGGUGUUUUGGGGCCAAUUGCUCCGUUUCUGUUCCAAGACUCAUUUUUGGGGCCAAGAGCCAGUUUUUUGGGCCGAGAAGUGGAUUUGGGGCCAAGAAGCAGAUUUUUGGGCCAAGAAACAGAUUUUUGGGCUGAGAAACAGAUUUUGGGGCUGGGAAACGGGUCUUUUGGCUGGGAAAUGGAUUUUUGGGCCAGGAAACAGAAUUUUUGGGUCAAGAAACGGGUUUUUGGGGCUGAGAAAUGCAUUUUUGAGCAGAUUUUUGGGCCGAGAAAUGGGCUUUUGGGGGCUGAGAAGCAGAUUUGGGGGCCGAGAAACAGUUUUUGGGUCAAGAAACGGAUUUUGGGCAGAGAAACAGAUUUUGAGGCAAGAAACAGAUUUUUGGGGCCGAGAAGCAGAUUUUGGGGCCGAGAAGUGGAUUUCUGGGGCCAAGAAACAGAUUUCUGGGGCCGAGAAGCAGAUUUUGGGGCCAAGAAGCAGAUUUGGGGUCGAGGAAUAGAUUUUUUGGGGCUGAAAAAUGGAUUUUGGGGCCGAGAAGCAGAUUUUGGGGCUGAGAAGCGGAUUUCUGGGCCCAAGAAACAGAUUUCUGGGGCCGAGAAGCCGAUUUUUGGGCUGAGAAACAGAAUUUUGGGGCCAAGAAACAGAUUUUUGCGGCCGAGAAGCAGAUUUUGGGGCCGAGAAGCGGAUUUUUGGUCCGAGAAACGGAAUUUUGGGGCCAAGAAACAGAUUUUUGCGGCCGAGAAGCAGAUUUUGGGGCCGAGAAGGAGAUUUUUGGGGCCGCGAAACGGACUUUCGGGCCGAGCGCCGCCUGCCGGCCACACGCCGGCGCCGCCGGCCGG